ACGGGGUGCAGCAGGCGCGAAAACUCCACAAUGUACGACAGUACGAUGGGGUUAUCUCGAGUGCAGUCCGAUAAGGGCUGCUUUUCCAUAGAGUAAUAUCCUGUGGGAAUAAGAGGGGGGCAAGACUGGUGUCAGCCGCCGCGGUAACACCAGCCCCUCGAGUGGUGGGGACUAUUAUUUGGCCUAAAGCGUCCGUAGCUGGCUGUAUCCGUCCCCCGUUAAAUCCAGCGUCCUAAGCGUUGGACUGCGGGUGAUACCAUACAGCUAGAGGGUGGGAUAGGUGAGCGGUAUUUCUGGGGUAGGGGCGAAAUCCUUUGAUCCCAGGAGGACCACCAGUGGCGAAGGCUGCUCACUAGAACACGCCUGACGGUCAGGGACGAAAGCUGGGGCAGCGAACCGGAUUAGAUACCCGGGUAGUCCCAGCUGUAAACGAUGCCAGCUAGGUGUUGGGUCGGCCACGCGCCGCCCCAGUGCCGCAGGGAAGCCGUUAAGCUGGCCGCCUGGGGAGUACGGCCGCAAGGCUGAAACUUAAAGGAAUUGGCGGGGGAGCAC
rnacentral:rRNA from 1 species